UUUAAGAAAAUACAAAAUAACAGUAACUCCGAAUAACAUUUUGUAUUCGGAGUUACUGUUAUUUUGUAUUUACUUAAA